CCUACGGGAGGCAGCAGUGAGGAAUCUUGGUCAAUGGGCGCGAGCCUGAACCAGCCACGUAGCGUGAAGGAUGACUGCCCUCCGGGUUGUACACUUCUUUUAUAAAGGAAUACAGUGAGGCACGUGUGCCUUUUUGUAUGUACUUUAUGUAUAAGGCUCUGCUAACCCCGUGCCCGCAGCCGCGGUAAUACGGAGGAUCCGAGAGUUAUCCGGAUUUAUUGGGUUUAAAGGGAGCGGAGAUGGGUUGUUAAGUCAGUUGUGAAAGUUUGCGGCUCAACCGGAAAAGUGCAAUUGAUAAUGGCAGUAUUGAGUACAGUUGAGGUAGGCGGAAUUCGAGGUGUAGCGGUGAAAUGCGUAGAUAUGACGAAGAACUCCGAUUGCGAAGGCAGCUUACUAAACUGCCACUGACAUUGAUGCGCGAAAGUGUGGGUAUCAAACAGGAUUAGAUACCCCUGUAGUC
rnacentral:rRNA from 1 species